GGGUUGUAACUCAGUGGUAGAGCACUUGCCUAGCACGUGCAAGGCCCUGGGUUCAAUCCUCAGCAUUACUUG
rnacentral:tRNA from 1 species